AUCCAAGGAGGAGGGUCUUGAGCUAACUCUAGCCAUGAGUCAAUAUAUGGAGAUUGAUCCGGGUGUCCUGGCUCUCCUGUGAUUACUGCAUUGACUGCUUCCACUAUUUUUUAGUUUGUGGUGUCCUCUGCCAUUCUGCCUCCUUCCUAAUUGGGAGCUCCAGAUUCAUCUGAUGUCUGUCUUCUCAACUGGAUUAUAUCUUGAUUUCUAGAGAGGCUUUCUCCGUUCAGAUGCCAAAAAUAAUACCACUAGCAGUAUUUUGUCCAACCUGUGUGUUUUGCAAGUGCAAUGAGAGGAAACAUACUGUCUUAAUGCAUCAAGAAUACAUCUGCAGAUGGAGAUGUCUACAUGUGGAUAUAAAGUACGAGUCCAUAUUUAUGCUCAUGUAUGUUAAAGAAUAAGGUACAUGGACAUAUCUUUAAUGUUUCAUUUUUAUUCUUAAAAUUUUGCAAAUACUUUCAUAUGUAAUUUAUGAAAACUUCAAAAUAAAAAUAUUUUAAAG